UCCGCAGGCGGCGCACGCGCGCUCUGCACUCUGGGACGUGUAGUGCUCCCCGCUCCACUGCCGUGACGGCCGCUCGUCUUACGUCACGUCGCGUUACGUCGCAUCACAUGAUCUCUCCCCUACGCCGUCGGCGGCCUGCGUGCGUAGUGCGUGGGUUGCCGAGGCGACGGCGCAGGCCUGGGCGCGCGCCCCUUCCCCUCCCCCCACCUCCCCCCUUUCCAACCACAAUGAGCUUCUAAGAUGGCGGUUGGCCCGCAGGCGCCGAGACGCAGUUGGAGUCAAAAGAAGUCAGUGCUGGCCAAGAGGAAAGAGGAGUUGUCAGAGAAGUAGGAGGGAGCCCAGCACCUUGGAGUGCUGCAUUUCAAAGAGGAGGGUGGUCUGUGAUGUCUGCUGCUUCCACCCACCCUGGCCAGGGGGGAGUCUCCUGCUGAUGGAAGCCAUGGGGCCAAGAUGGAGCCAUAUUUGGUGUGUAUUGAUGCUUGGCUUUUAGCUGGUGUUCUGAGCUGCACAGGGCUUUGGGGGGUGCAUAAGCUCCCUCCUAGACUCACUCAGGUGCCCUGAUUUGAGAGCACAUGACCCCAGCCAUAAUAAUUUGUGACAUUUUUAGAAUUUGGUGUGCUGCCUUGUCAGCCUCUGUUUCCUGUCUGUGAAAUGAAGGUGCUGGAUUCAGUGGCCCCUGAGAUCCCUUCUAGAUAUUUACCAUCAAUAUGUGUUCAGUGGCGGUUGGGUCCUUUUUCUAGCCCAUUGACAUUGAAGAGUAAGAAGCAAUAAUGGGGAUAAAAGACUAAGGAUUCAUUUUUAAGAAGCCUACUCCAGAUUGUUCUUCUGUUUUGCUGUAUCUUAGAUGUUACUACCUGAAGAAAAGGCAGAUUUUCGUGAGAGGGCAGUUAGUAAACUCGGAGUGGGAAUCCCAGGGUUGGAGAUGUUGAUGUGGGUGCUUCACUGCUCAUACUUGUAGACUUCUGUUAGCUCAUUCAUGAAAUGAGAAUGGGAUGGCAGGGUGAGCUGGGAGAAGGAAUUGACAAGCUAGCCACCUCCCUUCACAGAUGUCCAGGGGCAGAAAAGGAGGUGGUAACUUGCCCCAUGCCCUCACCUGGCUGGCUCCAGAGAAUAGUUGUUGUUAGGGGUAAGCCAGUGGCAGAUCAGGUACUAGUGAUGAGGGCAACAUUGUGAGAGGCUGAGAAAGCCGAAGCUAAACUGCUCUGGCUGCUCUGAGCUCAGGAGAUGGCGUCUCAUACCUUUGCUUCCCAUUCGGACUGGAUUUCUGAGCCCAGGACUCUGGUUCUCUUCUCCAGUGCCAUCCCACAAGGAUUUCUCAGGCCGUAUCCUAGGGGAGACGUAAAGACAAAGGAAGCAGUGCCUGCCUCUGUGGCAUUGGGGGUCCAGGACAGACCAAGUGAUGAACGUGAGGGGUGAACGCGGCCUGUGGGGGCAUCUGAGGCAAGAAGGGUAGGGCAACUUUCCUGGAGAUAAUGGGUAACUGGAGAUAGUAGGUAGGAUCAGCUAGAGGAGAGGUAGGGCAGAUGUGAGGAGGCGGAGCAGGACAGAAUGGGCAGAGAGAGUGGUCCCGAUUAGAGGAAGCCUCAGAGGCCAGGCUGAGGAGUUUGGAUGGUAUCAGUAGGCGGGUGAUAGAAGUAGGGAGGUUUGGAGCAGAAGAAGAUGAUAAUCACCUCUCUGGCUAACCCGAGUGGCAGAAGCUGGAGGCCACAAGAGUUAUUUGGAGGUAAAUGGAAGAUGGUAACAGGCCUGUACCAGAGUAAGAGUUUGGGAAGUGAUGGAGGGCGCAUCAGCAGGGCUCGGGCAAGGAGAGGGGAGAAGAGAGACAGACGGUGCCAACAUUUCCAACUUCUGGUGCCUUCCCUCCUGAGUUAACUUUAUGUUUGUAAUACCUAUCACCUGAUACAUACUGUAAUACCGAUUUCUUGCCUUGCGAACGGAUUGUUUCCUUCCAGCCAUGAGCUCUAAACCCGCAACACUAGGAUGAGCCGCGUCUGUGCCCUUGGGGGUCCUCAUGCCAUGGCUUUUUCCUCUCACUGUGGCUAAGCAAGAGUUGGCUAGAGAUGAAGUUCCGUUCUCAUGUGGUCUCCAGUAGCACUGUAGCAAACUGUAAGUGGGACUUACAGCCUGCUUGUAUGGAGAACAGCCCCUAGCAUUCAGGUCCAUUUAUUCCUUUGGUGGUGUGUGCCGAGGUCCCUUCCCUGUACACUGUUUCAUUUUAUGGACUGAGGAAGACACAAAGCGAAUGGAGACUCUAAGAGGGAUGGCCGUGAUAAUUGCCAGCUGGGCAGUGUGUAUCAUCAGGCUACAAUAAUGAUAAGAUUAGGAUUUACCAAGUGCCACAGCAGGUAUAACUUUGGAGAGUCUAAUUCUGCUGUGGCAGAGUGGGAAGAAGAAGAAAAAAUGGUUCCUAGUGACUGGCCUGGCCUGGAAUGGGAGGACAGUACCAGGCAAUCACAGAAGGCUUCCUGGAAGAGGCCCAUUGGAGCCGGGCCUUAAAUCCAGGAACAGGACAAAAGUGCACAGAUGCUUUGUAUUGAACACAAGUGAAGGCUCACGAGCGGCUCAAAUCAGGGCAUGGGAUAUGUGGUGGGGUGAGGCACAAGGAAAGUCAGUUGUGUCAUGACAUUGGGCAGGCCUUGAAUGCCAGGCUAAGGAGUUUGGGCUUUAUUCAGGUGCAGUUGGGAAACCAGUGAAGGGUUUUGAGCAGAAAGGUGACGUGGUCAGAUCUGUAUAUAAGAAAGAUUAAUUUGGCAUCACUAUGAAAGAGGAAUUAGAAAUUGGGAGACCAGUUAGGAAUCUGUUGCAUUAGUCCGGGCAUGUAGCUAUGAGGGCCUGAACUAGGGAGGUGGCAGUGGGAAUAGAAAGAGGGAGUGAAUUUGAGAUGUGGACCUAGAAUCAUGAGGACUUGGGCAUGGUUGCAUUGGGGAGGUGGUCGAGCUGAGAAAGGCAAGCUGAAAAAGAAGCCUGCCCCCAGGCAGUGUGGCCCUGCGAUGUGGGAUGUGUGUCUGGCAGCGUCCAGUUUGAUGGGCAUGAUAUCCUCUUUGGAGAGCCUUCUUUUGAUGGUGGAGCGUCGUUAAAAGAGAAUAAAACUUUCUCUUUUUUUAUGUACUAAAAAGUC
rnacentral:lncRNA from 1 species